AUUUAGAAUUCAAUGACAUUGGAGCAAAGAGAAGAGAAACUGAAAAUCAGGCAACUUAAUGGCAAAAAGAAUUUAUGUCAAGAUUCUGAUUUGAGAAAUCCACUCAACGUUCAUGGCAAAAGCUAUAAAACAAAACUGAGCAUCAUUUUUGGCAGGUGCAGCCGGCUGCCAGGGCCAGCGGAGGAAGCUUCUGUGUCUGGAGACACCAGGAUUGCCCACGGAUCCGACCUCUCUUACCUUCACCACUCGGUGCUGGCCCGUCAUCUAGACAUCAUGUCUUUGCUUAACAUUCUGACAGCUCUCGAAAUGCAAAUAUCCCCGGGGUUUUAUCUUGGAAUUUCCAAGGACAGUACAGCCGCAGGGACACACGCAGAUCUAAAUAACAAUUUCAGCUAAGAAUUAAGGAGGAGAUGCUCUUGCCUAGGCUGAGUCCUCUGUCUGUGCCUGUGUGUGUGUGUGUGUGUGUGUGUUUAGUAUCACAGCUGUGUCUAUAAUCUUGCACCAAUGUCAAAGAAAGAGACCUACCAUAUGCUCUUUGAGAAAAGUACAAAGAGAUACCUGCUCCAAAUUAUUCUUUAGGAAAGUUGCUGAUAUGAUGGAAAAAAUGUAUAGCUGGGAAGCUUUAGAAUUGGAUCCUGUCCCAGAGCAGCGACUUAGCUGUGACCAUGCAGUGAUUUCCUUUCUCCUACACCCACUGUCCUCACCUACAAAAUGAUGGAGUUGAACUAGAUGGUCCCUAACCCAGGACAUGGAAAGGUCAAUGAUUCCGUGCUACAGGAGAAAGAUAGGGCUCAUCACGACAACCUGAAUCACCUUAGCCAACUAGUUUCCC
rnacentral:lncRNA from 1 species